rnacentral:lncRNA from 12 species
GCUGAGCAAUACUAGACAUCCCAGGACCAGUGCUGUACCACGGAGGAAAGGAGGAUGGAUUCAAGUAGGAGGUUUCCAGAAAGCUCUAAGGGAGAAGACCAAGGCUGGUGAUUUAACAGUCAACAGGUUUACAUAGUACUUGCCCCCCAUCCCUGGAUCUAAGUUAAAGAAGAAAGUGCUAUGCCAGAGAAUAUGAGGAGAAAUUCACUUGAGCUAUAGUAGUCAGGUAAGAUCUCUCUAAAAAUGUGACAUUUUAGAGAUUUUAGCUGACACUGAAGCCUAAAU